CGAACAGGAGCCAGAACUCAACACACGGAGAGGAGACGUCGGAUCAAGAAACACCACAUUGGGUCCCAACUCGGCUAACAAGAUUGGUCAAGGAAACUCAGGACG